GUCGAGAAUUUUUCUCAAUGGGGGAAACCCUGAAGGAGCGACGCCGCGUGGAGGAUGAAGGUCUUCGGGUUGUAAACUCCUGUCAUUUGAGAACAAGGUGCACAUGUUAACUGCAUGUGCAUUGAUAGUAUCAGAAGAGGAAGGGACGGCUAACUCUGUGCCAGCAGCCGCGGUAAUACAGAGGUCCCAAGCGUUGUUCGGAUUCAUUGGGCGUAAAGGGUGUGUAGGUGGCGCCGUAAGUCGGGUGUGAAAUCUCGGGGCUUAACUCCGAAACUGCAUUCGAUACUGCGGUGCUUGAGGACUGGAGAGGAGACUGGAAUUCAUGGUGUAGCAGUGAAAUGCGUAGAGAUCAUGAGGAAGACCAGUGGCGAAGGCGGGUCUCUGGACAGUUCCUGACACUGAGACACGAAGGCCAGGGGAGCAAACGGGAUUAGAUACCCCUGUAGUCC
rnacentral:rRNA from 1 species